CCCAACGCAACCGAGGGUGCUAAGAAGAUGAGCAACAGCAUCAACAGAGGAGAAUAUGAAGAUGAAGAUGAAGAUGAAGAUAGAGUCUCGAAAAUUCCAUUGAUGAAAUCAAUGAAUAAGCGAUUUUACCAUAAUAUUGAUCAUUCCAAGGGUCGAUCACUUAAAGAUGAUCGAGAUCGAUGGUCUUGCUUGUGAUUUGUUUCAUAAGCCCAUCGAUGGAGCUGCACAUCCAAUUGUUCUACUAGGCUGGACUCCAAUUUGAAAAGAGGCAAAUGGAAGAAGAAUUUGGAUGGCUAUGAAUUCAAGCUAAGCAUCCAAGUAAAAGCAACAAAGCAAACCACUCUUUUGGACUUGAAGCAUAUUGGAUGUGUUAAAAAUAUUUGUUAAAGUGUUAUAUGACAAAAAGUCAUAAAAUUCAGAAUUUCUCUUAGACCGUUCACAUUGUAUGUGUUAAAAAAUUACUUGUUGAAGUAUAUUAUAUGACAAAAAGCUAUAAAAGUGAGAUAUGAAUUAAAAUUUUUAGUAUAUGAGUGCUCCAAUAGAGUCGUAUUCUCUGAUUUAUAUAUUCAAAGUUUGUGUUCUCUUGUAAUCUAAGCCACUAUCUUGAGCAUCACAAUACUUGAUGUGU